CAAGUCCGAGCGGAUGAAAGAAGAGCUUGCCUUUCUGAUUCAGCGGCGGACGGGUGAGUAAUGCCUAGGAAUCCGCCUGAUAGUGGGGGACAACGUUUCGAAAGGAACGCUAAUACCGCAUACGUCCUACGGGAGAAAGCAGGGGACCUUCGGGCCUUGCGCUAUCAGAUGAGCCUAGGUCGGAUUAGCUAGUUGGUGAGGUAACGGCUCACCAAGGCGACGAUCCGUAACUGGUCUGAGAGGAUGAUCAGUCACACUGGAACUGAGACACGGUCCAGACUCCUACGGGAGGCAGCAGUGGGGAAUAUUGGACAAUGGGCGAAAGCCUGAUCCAGCCAUGCCGCGUGUGUGAAGAAGGUCUUCGGAUUGUAAAGCACUUUAAGUUGGGAGGAAGGGCAUUAACCUAAUACGUUAGUGUUUUGACGUUACCGACAGAAUAAGCACCGGCUAACUUCGUGCCAGCAGCCGCGGUAAUACGAAGGGUGCAAGCGUUAAUCGGAAUUACUGGGCGUAAAGCGCGCGUAGGUGGUUUGUUAAGUUGAAUGUGAAAGCCCCGGGCUCAACCUGGGAACUGCAUCCAAAACUGGCAAGCUAGAGUAUGGCAGAGGGUGGUGGAAUUUCCUGUGUAGCGGUGAAAUGCGUAGAUAUAGGAAGGAACACCAGUGGCGAAGGCGACCACCUGGGCUAAUACUGACACUGAGGUGCGAAAGCGUGGGGAGCAAACAGGAUUAGAUACCCUGGUAGUCCACGCCCGUAAACGAUGUCGACUAGCCGUUGGGAUCCUUGAGAUCUUAGUGGGCGCAGCUAACGCAUUAAGUCGACCGCCUGGGGAGUACGGCCGCAAGGUUAAAACUCAAAUGAAUUGACGGGGGCCCCGCACAA
rnacentral:rRNA from 1 species